rnacentral:rRNA from 1 species
GGUUCUCUCCGAAAUAGCUUUAGGGCUAGCCUCAAGUGAUGAUUAUUGGAGGUAGAGCACUGUUUGGACGAGGGGCCCCUCUCGGGUUACCGAAUUCAGACAAACUCCGAAUGCCAAUUAAUUUAACUUGGGAGUCAGAACAUGGGUGAUAAGGUCCGUGUUCGAAAGGGAAACAGCCCAGACCACCAGCUAAGGUCCCAAAAUAUAUGUUAAGUGGAAAAGGAUGUGGCGUUGCCCAGACAACUAGGAUGUUGGCUUAGAAGCAGCCAUCAUUUAAAGAGUGCGUAAUAGCUCACUAGUCGAGUGACACUGCGCCGAAAAUGUACCGGGGCUAAACAUAUUACCGAAGCUGUGGAUUGUCCUUUGGACAAUGGUAGGAGAGCGUUCUAAGGGCGUUGAAGCAUGAUCGUAAGGACAUGUGGAGCGCUUAGAAGUGAGAAUGCCGGUGUGAGUAGCGAAAGACGGGUGAGAAUCCCGUCCACCGAUUGACUAAGGUUUCCAGAGGAAGGCUCGUCCGCUCUGGGUUAGUCGGGUCCUAAGCUGAGGCC